AACGAACGCUGGCGGCGUGCUUAACACAUGCAAGUCGAACGCGAAAGUUUUCUUCGGAAAGCGAGUAGAGUGGCGCACGGGUGAGUAACGCGUAAGUUAUCUACCUCGGCAUCUGGAAUAACUCACCGAAAGGUGUGCUAAUACCGGAUACGUUGAGUAAUCAAGAAAGGUGGCCUCUGAAUAUGCUACUGUGCUGAGAUGAGCUUGCGUACCAUUAGCUAGUUGGUAGGGUAAUGGCCUACCAAGGCAACGAUGGUUAGCGGGUCUGAGAGGAUGAUCCGCCACACUGGAACUGAAACACGGACCAGACUCCUACGGGAGGCAGCAGUGAGGAAUAUUGCGCAAUGGGGGAAACCCUGACGCAGCGACGCCGCGUGGAUGAUGAAGGCCUUCGGGUCGUAAAAUCCUGUCAGAUGGAAAGAAAUGCAU
rnacentral:rRNA from 1 species